UACGGAGGGGGCUAGCGUUGUUCGGAAUUACUGGGCGUAAAGCGCACGUAGGCGGCUUGGUAAGUUAGAGGUGAAAGCCUGGAGCUCAACUCCAGAAUUGCCUUUAAGACUGCCGAGCUAGCAGGUGAGAGAGGUGAGUGGAAUUCCGAGUGUAGAGGUGAAAUUCGUAGAUAUUCGGAAGAACACCAGUGGCGAAGGCGGCUCACUGGCUCAUACUGGACGCUGAGGUGCGAAAGCAUGGGGAGCAAACAGG
rnacentral:rRNA from 1 species